CCGUCAUAACAGCCUUUGGAU
rnacentral:miRNA from 1 species